AGGAGGAACAGCCCCAGUGGCGGGGCCAGCUCUGGAGCCCUGGAGUCAGCCCCCGCAGUAACCCUAACCCCGGAGCUCUCGGUCUGCAGGGCCUGGAGGCUCCGGGGCGGG
rnacentral:pre_miRNA from 1 species